rnacentral:rRNA from 1 species
AGAGAGCGCUGGCGGUAGGCCUAACACAUGCAAGUCGAACGGCAGCACAGUAAGAGCUUGCUCUUACGGGUGGCGAGUGGCGGACGGGUGAGGAAUACAUCGGAAUCUACUUUUUCGUGGGGGAUAACGUAGGGAAACUUACGCUAAUACCGCAUACGACCUACGGGUGAAAGCAGGGGAUCUUCGGACCUUGCGCGAUUGAAUGAGCCGAUGUCGGAUUAGCUAGUUGGCGGGGUAAAGGCCCACCAAGGCGACGAUCCGUAGCUGGUCUGAGAGGAUGAUCAGCCACACUGGAACUGAGACACGGUCCAGACUCCUACGGGAGGCAGCAGUGGGGAAUAUUGGACAAUGGGCGCAAGCCUGAUCCAGCCAUACCGCGUGGGUGAAGAAGGCCUUCGGGUUGUAAAGCCCUUUUGUUGGGAAAGAAAAGCAGCAGGUUAAUACCCCGCUGUUCUGACGGUACCCAAAGAAUAAGCACCGGCUAACUUCGUG